AACUCGGCCAUUUAGAGGAAGUACAAGUCGUAACAAGGUUUCCGUAGGUGAAUCUGCGGAAGGAUCAUAGUUAUCGAGGGCGCAAGCCCGUCUCGCAACCAUGCGUCAUGCGUCGUGUUAUCCCUCUCGGGACACGCGUAAAAGAAGCGAACAUGCACAGAGUAUGCCUCUUACGAAAACAAACAAAGAAAUCACAACCGGUAGCGUUGGAUCCCUUGGCACGUUGAUCGAUGAAGACCGUUGCAAACUGCGAUAAGUGGUGUGAUGCGCAAGUCUAAAACUUAUAAGUGAAUCAUCGAAUCGUUGAACGCACGACACCGGCUCUAUCCGAGCAGGUAUGCCCCUUUGAGCGCCAUUAUGCCUUCGGUAGCAUCCGGAUUUCAGUCCGUGAUGCCCGGGUUCGAGGUCCACCGUGCGUCCGCGCAUGGCGUUCCUUCAGAUGCAUUGGAAGGGAAGAGGCCACGCCGGAACCCAUCCGUGUCAUGAGACAUGCACGGAAAGGACCGCAGCGCCGAAGCCCAGGACGUGUCCGCAGCGAGACCGUCCAGACGCACCUUCACGGUGAAAACCAUUGAAUGUGGCCUCACUGGGGUAAGACUACCCGCUAGACUUAAGCAUGUUAAUCAGCGGAGGAAAAGAAACUAACUAGGAUUCCCUCAGUAACUGCGAGUGAAGCGGGAUGAGCUCAAUGUGUGAAUCUGGCGG
rnacentral:rRNA from 1 species